AAAUCUCCAGUAGAUGAAGUCUUGCAAAUUGUGACCCUGCAAGAUCCCCAGACUUUGCAAAAUCAUAUACUUUAGUCUGU